GCGAUUGCGUAGGCGACUUCCUUUUUUUUGUGAGGGCUUGGUAUUUGCUAAGGUCUAGCUACAACUCCCCUUCCCUGAUUAGCUCAGGGCUAGGUCCGACUCCCGCUGCCCUGACGUAGCUAAGGGGAGGUCUUAGCUCGGCGUCUCUCCCCGCCGGCCAAGGUAGAUCAUUUCCACGAACACACGCAGGCAGGUGGACUCCAGACCCUACCCUAGCUCAGCUAGGCUCGCUAUCCUCCUCGCCCUACGUCCUCGGCUCAUGUAGGCCAGCUAGGGUGGUUAGUCUCCUCGCCCUAAUUUACCAUCUGCGGAGUACAUGACCACUACAAGUACGAUGCGGUGCCAACAGAUGACCAAACCUAAACGUAAAAUGUGUCCGCAUACUAAUCAUAUGGUCAUGUUAAUCCUCGAACACGAGUUUUAAGAAUAGGUACAAUUAGGUGCGAACCCAACAUUAAGUACAGAGAAAUAAAAUCUAUCGAUCUAAAGUAACCAAUUUCUGGUAAACCACAUCACAUAACUAGAGAGUAUAGGUAGAAACACCAUCUCCAAGUACUUUAGACAUCUCGUCUACGAAUACGAAGG
rnacentral:rRNA from 1 species